GACCGUGCGGGCGUGCCUACACAUGGCAGUCGAGCGAAGCGAUGUUAAGGAAGUUUUCGGAUGGAAUUAAGAUUGACUUAGCGGCGGACGGGUGAGUAACGCGUGGGUAACCUGCCUUAUACAGGGGGAUAACAGUUAGAAAUGACUGCUAAUACCGCAUAAGCGCACGGGAACGCAUGUUUCUGUGUGAAAAACUGAGGUAGUAUAAGAUGGACCCGCGUCUGAUUAGCUAGUUGGUGGGGUAACGGCCUACCAAGGCGACGAUCAGUAGCCGGCCUGAGAGGGUGACCGGCCACAUUGGGACUGAGACACGGCCCAAACUCCUACGGGAGGCAGCAGUGGGGAAUAUUGCACAAUGGGGGAAACCCUGAUGCAGCGACGCCGCGUGAGUGAAGAAGUAUUUCGGUAUGUAAAGCUCUAUCAGCAGGGAAGAAGCAAGACGGUACCUGACUAAGAAGCCCCGGCUAACUACGUGCCAGCAGCCGCGGUAAUACGUAGGGGGCAAGCGUUAUCCGGAUUUACUGGGUGUAAAGGGAGCGUAGACGGUAUGGCAAGUCUGAAGUGAAAGCCCAGGGCUUAACCCUGGGACUGCUUUGGAAACUGUUAGACUAGAGUGCUGGAGAGGUAAGUGGAAUUCCUAGUGUAGCGGUGAAAUGCGUAGAUAUUAGGAGGAACACCAGUGGCGAAGGCGGCUUACUGGACAGUAACUGACGUUGAGGCUCGAAAGCGUGGGGAGCAAACAGGAUUAGA
rnacentral:rRNA from 1 species